CUUUUGCCGGCUAUCAUUGGGGCCCUUUAAGAGCAUCUUUGCACCUAACGACAGUCCCAGUUAACCUGCAUGCAGCAAAGAUACAAUAUAGUCUUGGCAAAUGUGCAAGAUGGAUAUGGUUCAGAAGCGGUAAAUGUUCGGAAUAAUUCGGUAUAGGUGCAGUCUAGGUACGGUGUACUGACCCUGGCAUGGAGAACACAGGUCGGGCUCUGGGGGCAGUCAGUAUCGGAUUUUUUUCCCCAUGGCUAAGCUAUGUAGGUCAGCAGAUUGUUAUAGUUGUGAAGUUUAUUCUCUUGGCUGUUUACUUGUCGGGCGUACCUGCCGAGAGCGGUAAUGAUUAAACAUUCCCCAUUCUUGUC